AUAAUAGUCAAAUGAUUACCUGGGCUUGGUGCUAAUGGUGUAGGAGGUGGUGCGGGUGGAGGGAAGAUCUUCAGUGUACGAGCUGUAGCUCGUGUUUACCUUUUGGAGGAUGUAGAUGAGAGAG